CAACACUCAAGCUCUGCUUGGUCUUGGGCCGCGUCAGUCUGACCGGCUUUAAAAUUAGUGGCGGUGCCAUCGUGCUCUAAGCGUAGUAAUACUCCUCGCUACAGGGCCUCGGUGCGUGCUGGCCAGCAACCCCCAACAUUCUAA
rnacentral:misc_RNA from 1 species